rnacentral:rRNA from 1 species
AACGGCAGCACGGGGGUAACCCUGGUGGCGAGUGGCGAACGGGUGAGGAAUACAUCGGAACGUAUCUUUAAGUGGGGGAUAACGCAUCGAAAGGUGUGCUAAUACCGCAUAAUCUCUGAGGAGAAAAGCAGGGGAUCGCAAGACCUUGCGCUUUUGGAGCGGCCGAUGCCUGAUUAGCUUGUUGGUGAGGUAAAAGCUCACCAAGGCUUCGAUCAGUAGCUGGUCUGAGAGGACGACCAGCCACACUGGGACUGAGACACGGCCCAGACUCCUACGGGAGGCAGCAGUGGGGAAUUUUGGACAAUGGGGGAAACCCUGAUCCAGCCAUGCCGCGUGAGUGAAGAAGGCCUUCGGGUUGUAAAGCUCUUUCAGCCGGAACGAAACGGUUACGGUUAAUACCCGUGACUACUGACGGUACCGGAAGAAGAAGCACCGGCUAACUACGUGCCAGCAGCCGCGGUAAUACGUAGGGUGCGAGCGUUAAUCGGAAUUACUGGGCGUAAAGCGUGCGCAGGCGGUUUUGUAAGUCAGAUGUGAAAUCCCCGGGCUUAACCUGGGAACUGCGUUUGAAACUGCAAGGCUAGAGUGUGGCAGAGGGGGGUGGAAUUCCGCGUGUAGCAGUGAAAUGCGUAGAGAUGUGGAGGAACACCGACGGCGAAGGCAGCCCCCUGGGUUAACACUGACGCUCAGGCACGAAAGCAUGGGGAGCAAACAGGAUUAGAUACCCUGGUAGUCCAU